GAAUAAUCAGUAGAAUGAAAUAGACAGUGCUCAUCUGUGUACCUUCCACAGCACUGAGCCCAGUCUUGGGAGCUCAUUAAAGAGUGGAAGGACAAAAGAGGACUCUGCUAACCUGAUAUUGGAUAAUCAGAGGGAGGAAAGAGUCCUGAAAUGAAAGGAUCCAAGAGGACUUCACAUGGUAUUUGUGAUGAUGGAAGCAGGAGGAAAAGCCCACUAAGUAACGGGAUCGAUACAACAAAUUAGACAUGGAGGCACAAACAACAGAAAAUGACCAGCUGGAACCAGGCUGGAAAUGCAGAGGAUGACUUCGGAUCAUCGCAAUCUAUUAAGACUAUUAGUUAGGACUAAAGUCAUGCUAGAGGGAGCCCCAAGGAAGGAAGAUCAUUAGGAGCUGCCAUGAAAAAUGGGAAUGAUGUCAAAUGAGUUCAAUCAGACUGCCCAGAAAAAUCUUAUCAUCCAUUCACAAUCUACAGUAUUAGA
rnacentral:lncRNA from 1 species